UCUGGGCGUGGUGGCGGGCGCCUGUAAUCCCAGCUACUCAGGAGGAUGAGGCAGGAGAAUCGCUUGAACCCAGGAGGUGGGGGUUGCAGUGAGCUGAGAUCAUGCCACUGCACUCCAGCCUGGGCGACAGAGCGAGACUCCGUCUCAA
ensembl:misc_RNA Metazoa_SRP Metazoan signal recognition particle RNA